GCGCCCGUAGCUCAACGGAUAGAGCAUCUGACUACGGAUCAGAAGGUUAGGAGUUCGAAUCUCUUCGGGCGCGCCA
rnacentral:tRNA from 1 species